AGAGGAGUGCUGGCAGGGCCCCUCUGCUCCUUGGCAAGGGGGUCCGGCUUGGGCCGUGGCUGCCUUGGCCUUGCCACGGCCCCUUCCCCUCCACCGCCUCCAGCCGGCACGGCAGGCACACAGCAGGACCCUGGGGACGGCCCUCAGGGGCACCUGGCCCUGCCAGCUGCUCACCGCUGCUCGCAUUUGCUCUCUCCUCUGCAGUGUGUGUGCUGUGUGGCCGGGCAGAUGUCGACCCGGACGCCUUCGGGCACAUGCUGUCUGAAAGUGGGAUUCAUGUCCACGAGUUAUGCUUGUCGUUUGCCAACAUCACUUCUGAAGUAGCAAGACUAAGGCUGUCGGGAAGUGAGGGCCUCCCCGUUGCUGCCAUCAGACGUGCAGUCAAACAGGCCACCAAGCAGCAAUGCUUUGUUUGUGGCGAG